rnacentral:pre_miRNA from 1 species
CAUGCACCAGUGGGGUCCCUUGGCCUGGCCUGCACCCUCUCGCAAUCUGGGAUCCCUUGGGGGAUGUUGGAGAGCUGGUUUAGGCCCGAUCCCGCAGGCCAGGCCAAGGGACCCCACUGGUGCACG